ACGUAGGGUGCGAGCGUUAAUCGGAAUUACUGGGCGUAAAGCGUGCGCAGGCGGUUUCGUAAGUCAGAUGUGAAAUCCCCGGGCUCAACCUGGGAACUGCGUUUGAAACUGCGAGGCUAGAGUGUAGAAGAGGGGGGUAGAAUUCCACGUGUAGCAGUGAAAUGCGUAGAGAUGUGGAGGAAUACCGAUGGCGAAGGCAGCCCCCUGGGCUAACACUGACGCUCAUGCACGAAAGCGUGGGAGCAAACAGGAUUAGAUACCCUGGUAGUCCACGCCCUAAACGAUGUCUACUAGUUGUUGGGAGAGUAAAAUCUCUUAGUAACGCAGCUAACGCGUGAAGUAGACCGCCUGGGGAGUACGGUCGCAAGAUUA
rnacentral:rRNA from 1 species